UACAGAGGGGGCAAGCGUUGUUCGGAAUUACUGGGCGUAAAGGGCGCGUAGGCGGCCCGCUAAGUCGAACGUGAAAUCCCCGAGCUCAACUCGGGAACUGCGUCCGAUACUGGCGGGCUUGAAUCCGGGAGAGGGAUGCGGAAUUCCAGGUGUAGCGGUGAAAUGCGUAGAGAUCGGGAGGAACAUCAGUGGCGAAGGCGGCCAUCUGGGACAACACUGACGCUGAAGCACGAAAGCGUGGGGAGCAAACAGG
rnacentral:rRNA from 1 species